AUUGAACGCUGGCGGCAGGCCUAACACAUGCAAGUCGAACGGUAGCACAGAGAGCUUGCUCUCGGGUGACGAGUGGCGGACGGGUGAGUAACGUCUGGGAAACUGCCCGAUGGAGGGAGAUAACUACUGGAAACGGUAGCUAAUACCGCAUAACGUCGCAAGACCAAAGUGGGGGACCUUCGGGCCUCACACCAUCGGAUGUGCCCAGAUGGGAUUAGCUAGUAGGUGGGGUAAUGGCACACCUAGGCGACGAUCCCUAGCUGGUCUGAGAGGAUGACCAGCCACACUGGAACUGAGACACGGUCCAGACUCCUACGGGAGGCAGCAGUGGGGAAUAUUGCACAAUGGGCGCAAGCCUGAUGCAGCCAUGCCGCGUGUAUGAAGAAGGCCUUCGGGUUGUAAAGUACUUUCAGCGGGGAGGAAGGCGGUGAAGUUAAUAACUUCACCGAUUGACGUUACCCGCAGAAGAAGCACCGGCUAACUCCGUGCCAGCCGCCGCAGUAA
rnacentral:rRNA from 1 species